UUCCUUUUGGUUUUUAUUUUGCACACUGUUUAAUUUUUUUUUCUUCCAUCCUGCAGAGUUUGUCGCUGAAGAGAUGGACACGGGUGCAGACAUGGACUCCAGCGAGGCAAAGGACGAAGAGGACUACGAUGUGAUGCAGGAUCCGGAGUUCCUGCAGAGCGUUUUAGAGAACCUCCCAGGGGUCGACCCUAACAACGAGGCCAUCCGGAACGCCAUGGGUUCCCUGGCUUCCCAGACCGGCUCCAAGUCUGACCCAAAGAAGGAUGAGGAGAAGAAGAAAUGAGUGCUGAGAGAGAAAAGAUUGUGAUACUGUGUGACAAAAGGCAUCAGAGUUUCUCUGCAUGUUUUCCACAAUUACAUUUAAACUGAAACAUGUUUUUGUUUUUUUCUGUGUGUAAAAUAUAUAAACAGCCAAUUUUGCUUCUUCUGUUUUUUAGGGCUCAUUAUCAUCCCAUUCAUUUCUGUUUAUUUUGCAUUUUGUAAAAUACCUCCUCUCUAACAUGAAUCGGUUUCUUCAAUAAAGUUACAGAACAGAACAUU